AUGGGCGGCUACGAGAACGGUGACUCGCCGGCGGCCGCCGCCUGGGAGGGCGGCGUGAUCCUGGGCGUGGACGGAGGCACCACCAGCACCGUCUGCGUCUGCCUGCCGGCCGCAAUGCCACCACCGGAGGCGCCCGGCUCAGUCGCCGUGCUCUCCCGCGCCAUCGCCGGCUGCUCCAACCGUAAUUCCGUCGGAGAAAACGCUGCACUGGAAACUCUAGAACAGGUCAUGAUGCAGGCCCUAACAACGGCCAACACAGAUCGUUCUGCUGUUGUUGCAGUUUGCUUAUCUGUAUCUGGGGUGAACCAUCCUUCAGAUCAGCAGAGGAUGCUGGACUGGAUCUGCAACCUAUUCCCUGGAAAUGCCAAGUUUUAUGUGGAAAAUGAUGCGGUGGCAGCUUUAGCCAGUGGUACAAUGGGAAAGCUACAUGGCUGUGUAUUGAUUGCUGGCACAGGAAGCAUUGCUUAUGGGGUCACCGAAGAUGGAAAAGUAGCGAGAGCAGCUGGUGCCGGUCCUGUCUUAGGCGACUGGGGUAGUGGCUAUGGCAUUGCUGCACAGGCCCUCACAGCAGUAAUAAAAGCACAUGAUGGCCGUGGACCACAAACUAAUCUUACAAGAGAUAUCAUUAGGAAGCUUGAAAUUUCUUCACCAGAUGAGUUGAUUGGUGUCUGGCACAGGUGGGCAUAUGCGGAUCCAUCUUGGGCCCGUAUUGCAGCUCUUGUACCUGUUGUGGUAUCUGCUGCUGAAGAUGGUGACAAAGUAGCAAACACGAUACUGCAUGAUGCAGUGCAAGAGUUGGCUGAAAGCGUUGUAGCUGUUGUUCGGCGCCUUACAUUGUGUGGUGAAGAUGGGAAAGACCAAUUUCCACUUGUAUUGGUUGGAGGUGUUCUCGAAGGAAAUAAGAAAUGGGACAUCAGUGGUGAGGUCAUAAAAUGCAUUUCCAAAGUCUUCCCAGGUGUCUGUCCUAUUCGGCCCGAGGUGGAACCUGCAAUUGGUGCGGCGUUGCUAGCUUGGAGCCAUCUUCGUAAAGAGUCAAAGCUGCAAAAUGGCAGCUGA
rnacentral:rRNA from 1 species